GUCCUCCUCCUCUCAGCUGACUCCGGAGCAACAAACCAGAACCCGCAGCUGCUGUCAUUAAAGCCUUUAACCGGCCGGCGUUACAGUCUGCUCAAAAAAGUAGAACCGAAUCAUCGAUCGUUUUUACAGGAUGGUAUCGUGUUCAGAUUCACCUCGCGAGCGAUGAAUAAAACGCGCGCCGAGGGGACCGGACGGAGACCGGCGGCGGUUGUGUUUGCUCCGUGCUGCUCAGUACCGCUUCUCGGGCUCGUCAGAGGAUGGAGCGCUGGUUAAGAGGGGGUGGCAAGCCGUCCGUGUUCYGGUUUCUCCUCGGUCCUGUUCUCGUCCUCUCGCUCCUAGCGGUACAAGCAAGCUGUCACAGAACCUGCACACACAGAGUCCCCUCCGGCCGUGAGGUUGUCCAUCAAGUGUACUUGAAGCCUGAGCGGUUAGCGAAGAGAAGCUCUCCUGACGACCUGCAGCUAAAGAUAAAGAUCGUCUACGACAGCAGCRUUGACCAACUUCCUGCUGACAAGCGGAGACUGGUGAAGGACAAGCUGUUUCCUCAGGCCAUCGACUACCUGCAUAGGGCAUUCAGCUUGAGGCACAGGGUGGGACCCGUGCUGCUAAGCAGACAAUGUGCAACCAACCAGUACUUGAGGAAGAGAGGUGACCCUCAUCGAUACUGCCAGGACGCCUGCGCAGACGUCACCCGGUGCGGUCCUGUCAUCGUACCACAGCAACACCUGCAGCAAUGUAUGGUUUGCAGCGAGUCAGGGAAGUCCUGUGGCCCAGCGGGGCCCCCUGACGGCCCCGGGGUGGAGGGCUCAGACUUUGUGCUGUACGUCAGCGGCAUCACCACCGAGCGGUGUGGACAGGAGAACAUAGCGGCCUACGCUGCCUACUGCCAGCUGGAAUCAGAGCUGGACCGGCCCAUCGCAGGUUAUGCCAACCUGUGUCCAGCCAUGAUCUCCUCUCAGCCUCAGGAGUUUGAAGGAAUGCUCUCCACUGUCAAACACGAGAUCAUCCACGCUCUGGGGUUUUCGGCCGGUCUGUUCGCCUUCUACCACGACGACGAGGGCAAACCUCUGACUCCGCGCUUCGCCAGCGGCCUUCCCACGUUCAAUGAGAGCCUGGGCCUGUACCAGUGGAGCGAGGCGGUGAUCAGGAGGGUCAGCCGCCUGUGGGACAUCAGAGGAGGAGAGAUGGUGCGGCACCACGUGCAUGUCCUGGUCACUCCUCGGGUCGUGGAGGAGGCCAGGAGGCACUUCGGCUGCCCCAUCCUGGAGGGGAUGGAGCUGGAGAACCAGGGUGGGAUGGGAACUGAGCUCAACCACUGGGAGAAGCGGCUGCUGGAGAACGAGGCCAUGACGGGCUCCCAGAACCUGGUCUUUUCUCGCCUCACGCUGGCCCUCAUGGAAGACAGCGGCUGGUACCGGGCCAACUACAGCCUGGCCCAGAGGCUGGACUGGGGCCGUGGCCUCGGCUGCGACUUCGUUAUGAAGAGCUGCAAGUUCUGGAUGGACAGACAGAGACAGAGGGGGCACCCUGUGACCCCGUUCUGUGACACGGUGCGGGCCUCUCCUCUGCAGCUGACCUGCAGACAGGACCAGCUGGCAGUGGCUGUCUGCAACUUACAGAAAUACCCCCAGCAGUUGCCCCUGGAGUACCAAUAUUUCGAUCGGAUCCCGGACGUUGCUGCAGAUCAGCUGUCAUUCUACGGGGGCGCUGUGGAGAUCGCCGAUUUCUGCCCUUUCAGCCAGGAGUUCAGCUGGCACCUCGGCGGAGAAUAUCAACGAAACUCGUACUGCAGAGUAUCGGAGAACCAGCCAGGUGCGGCUCACAUCGAAAGAAAGAUGAUAAUAGCACACAUAGAUAAAAGAUGAUAAUGACUCAUGGAGGAAUUAUGGAGCGGAGCAGUACGGCCCGAACUCUGUGUGUCUGUACCAGAAGUCGGCCUUCGUCAUGGAGCAGUGCACCCGGAAGAUGAUGUAUCCAGACUGGGGCUCCGGAUGCUACAAGGUUUCCUGCUCGUCUCAGGGCCUGACGGUGUUCGUUCAGGACCGCUCCUUCCUGUGUGUGAGGAAGGGUCAGCAGCUGAGCGUCAGCGUCCGGGUCAACGACUGGGUUUACAACGGRGUCCUGAUCUGCCCCGCCUGCACCGACUUCUGUGACGACUGCCCCCUGCCCCACCAGCUCCUGCCCAUCAACGCCUCCAGGAGCAACCCCAUCGAUCCCUGCUCCAGUUCUCCAGGUCUGGCCAUCACUCUCUGGCUCCUUCUGCUCAACCUGCUCCCUUUAGUGGCUGGACUGUUGAUCUGCCACUGGAGCUGAUGAAACACACACAAACACACACACACUCUCACAGUAAAGUAGCUAAAACUCUUCUG